rnacentral:rRNA from 1 species
UACGUAGGGUGCGAGCGUUAAUCGGAAUUACUGGGCGUAAAGCGUGCGCAGGCGGUGAUGUAAGACAGUUGUGAAAUCCCCGGGCUCAACCUGGGAACUGCAUCUGUGACUGCAUUGCUGGAGUGCGGCAGAGGGGGAUGGAAUUCCGCGUGUAGCAGUGAAAUGCGUAGAUAUGCGGAGGAACACCGAUGGCGAAGGCAAUCCCCUGGGCCUGCACUGACGCUCGUGCACGAAAGCGUGGGGAGCAAACAGG